CCUACGGGAGGCAGCAGUAGGGAAUCUUUCACAAUGGGCGAAAGCCUGAUGGAGCAACGCCGCGUGCAGGAUGAAGGCCUUCGGGUUGUAAACUGCUUUUAUAAGCGAGAAAUAUGAUGGUAACUUAUGAAUAAGGAUCGGCUAACUACGUGCCAGCAGCCGCGGUAAUACGGGGGAUGCAAGCGUUAUCCGGAUUUAUUGGGUUUAAAGGGUGCGUAGGCUGUGAGGUAAGUCAGCGGUGAAAUGCCCCCGCUCAACGGGGUGAAGUGCCAUUGAUACUGCCUUGCUGGAAUGCGGAUGCCGUGGGAGGAAUGUGUGGUGUAGCGGUGAAAUGCAUAGAUAUCACACAGAACACCGAUUGCGAAGGCAUCUCACGAAUCCGCGAUUGACGCUGAUGCACGAAAGCGUGGGUAUCAAACAGGAUUAGAUACCCUAGUAGUC
rnacentral:rRNA from 1 species